GCAUUGGUGGUUCAGUGGUAGAAUUCUCGCCUGCCACGCUGGAGGCCCGGGUUCGACUCCCCGGCCACGCA
rnacentral:tRNA from 1 species